GCUUGGGUGGCUCAGUCAGUUGAGCAUCUGACUUUGGCUCAGGUCAUGAUCUCAUGAUUUGUGGGUUCAAGCCCCAUGUCAGGCU
rnacentral:tRNA from 1 species